CACUGGCCAUUCCUGGGGC
rnacentral:misc_RNA from 1 species